rnacentral:rRNA from 1 species
GACGAACGCUGGCGGCGUGCUUAACACAUGCAAGUCGAACGGAAAGGCCCUGCUUUUGUGGGGUGCUCGAGUGGCGAACGGGUGAGUAACACGUAAGUAACCUGCCCUUGACUUUGGGAUAACUUCAGGAAACUGGGGCUAAUACCGGAUAGGAGCUCCUGCUGCAUGGUGGGGGUUGGAACGUUUCGGCGGUUGGGGAUGGACUCGCGGCUUAUCAGCUUGUUGGUGGGGUAGUGGCUUACCAAGGCUUUGACGGGUAGCCGGCCUGAGAGGGUGACCGGCCACAUUGGGACUGAGAUACGGCCCAGACUCCUACGGGAGGCAGCAGUGGGGAAUAUUGCACAAUGGGCGGAAGCCUGAUGCAGCAACGCCGCGUGCGGGAUGACGGCUUUCGGGUUGUAAACCGCUUUCGCCUGUGACGAAGCGUGAGUGACGGUAAUGGGUAAAGAAGCACCAGCUAACUACGUG